UCACCCCCUCCACCCUGCCCCACCUCCACCCCAUCACCUCCUCCUCCCUCACCCACAGUCCACAAGUCUCCGGGAGCGCUGGUGACGCCCCAGGUCAGCACCCCACGAGGACGUUCGGGUGAGGUGGACGGCACUUCAUAUUGUCCCCUGAAGAUGGAUGGCCAGCACCCACCGCUGCAGCCCCCGUGCCCACCCCCGCAGCCUCGGCCUUCUGAAGUAAAGGCACAGCCUGGAGCCUGUCCCGAGAGCUGCAUGCUCCUGUGUUCACAGCCUCCCGCCCUUCACGCGACCCUGCAGCCUGGCUUUCAGGGUCACAAAGAGAAAGACUCGGUGGCCAGUGCUAGCAGGCCAGGACUCCGCCCCUGAGCCCUCAACAGCAAGGGCGGCUUGCUGGGUCACUAGCAGGGGGGCUGAGCAGUGACCAAACGCCAACAGUGGCGGGGACAGAGGGCUGUGAGGGCCACCCUCCAUGGGGGCAGUGGGCUGUGUGAGGGCCAGUGGCGGGGAACAGCAGAUGUGAGGGCCAGUGGUGGGGGACAGUAGACUGUGAGGGCCAGUGGGGGGACAGCAGAUGUGAGGGCCACCCUCCGUGGGGGCAGCAGGCUGCGAGGGCCACCCUCUGUGGGGACAGCGGGCUGUGAGGGCCACCCUCCGUGGGGACAGUGGGCUGUGUGAGGGCCAGUGGGGGGACAGCGGGCUGUGAGGGCCACCCUCCGUGGGGGCAGCCCCUGGGCAGCUGGCGUGACUCUGUGCGCACAUGCUCCAGGGUGUUUUCGCCCCCGCAGGAAGGAUGGCAACCCCGGCUGGCUGUGUUGUUAAAGUCUGGUGAGAGAUGCUGUGCACUAUUUCUUGUAGGGGCUUCCGUGCAAAGGGGCCUGUGAAAUCCAGGCCUGCCUGUCACAGCACGGUCCCGGGUCAAGGGCCAGUUAUCAGGAGCUGUUUUUUGGGGGGCUUUCUGCGCUGCGCUCCUAUCUCACGUCUCCCCAGUGACUUCUCUCCCCACAAACCGAGGGGACCGGGCCGCCAGCAAGUGCUUGAAGCGUCUGCGACUCCCGCCCAAUCUGAGGUCUUCCUCCCACACUGCUGUCCCCUCUGCUCCUGGAAACGAGCUCCUUCUACUGGGAAAUGUCUAGUCCAGGUUUCCUCCCUCACAUUUCACACUUUCUUCACUGCCAAUCAUGGCAUGAAUUCCUUCUGUCCCCCUGUACACCUCUGCCCCUCUACGGGCGGUGGGAGUGCGGAGGCUGAGACUGCGUCGAGAAAGAGACUGAUGGAGAAGGCUAGACGCCAUCCCCACCUGCCUUCCCAUCCCCACCUGCCUUCCCACCUGCCUUCCCAUCUCCACCUGCCUUCCCACCUGCCUUCCCAUCCCCACCUGCCUUCCCAUCCCCACCUGCCUUCCCACCUGCCUUCCCAUCCCCACCUGCCUUCCCACCUCCCUUCCCAUCCCCACCUGCCUUCCCACCUGCUGUCCCCACCUGUCAUCCCCCUCCCCUAGCAGAGCCUGAGGCAGGAGCUGGGCUGGCUCCUCCAGUCCCCAUCUACAGCGGCCCUGAACCUUUCCUAACUCCAGUCCCAGGGCAUUGGUGGCUUCUUCUGGCCUCACGGGGUACUGGACGUGUGAUAAUGUACAGACACACACGCAGGCAAACCAACACACACACACACACACACACACACACACACACACACUCAUACAUGCUCUCAUACAUGCACUCUCUCACAAACACACACACCCAUACUCUGUGUGUGUCUGUUUCUCUCCCUCUCUUACUCUCUCUCUCUCUCUCUGUCUCUCUCCCUCCCUCUUACACACACACAUACACUCCCAUAUAUGCACUCUCUCACAAACACAUCCAUUCUCUCUCUCUCUCUCUCUCUCUCACACACACACACACAGCCUAGGAUAUGAAAGUGACUUGAAUUCUAUAUGAGUGUGGUGUGGUGUGGAAAUGGAAGACAAGUUUGUGGAGUCCGUGCUCUCUUUCCUGUGGCCCCGGGGCUGGAGCUCCCGUCUCAGUGCUGAGAGGGCGCCGUCACCCACCACCCAGCUCGUCAGCCUCGGGAACGUCAUUACCACGCAGCGCUCUGCGUGGAGUUUCCUUUCCACAGACAGUAUUCCAUCAAGCACACGAAGCGCAGGAAACCUCCUGCGUGCCUGUUUGCUGAACCCAGGCACCCCGCCAAGAAGGCUGUCGCGCCCCCUCCGCCAGCUGCGACUCUCUGUGUCAGGCGGUGUGAGAGAGGGCGACUCCCUGUGCUAAAAGGCAGGUCACCUUUCUGCCCUGGCGCGUGUUUGCCAGGACCGUGCCCCUGCGGCCUGCGGUGGCAGUCAGCUCGCUGGGUUCCAUGACAGACGUGUCUGUUCUUUCUAGCGAUUUAAGUUCAGAUCUUCUCUGCAAGUUGUGGUUCUUCCGGGGCCUUGUGCAAGCAACACUCCCAUGGAUAGGUGACAGUCCAGGAAGGACAGGGGACAGUCCAGGAAGGACAGCUGACAGUCCAGGAAGGACAGGGAACUGACAGUCCAGGAAGGACAGGGGACAGUCCAGGAAGGACAGGGAACUGACAGUCCAGGAAGGACAGCUGACAGUCCAGGAAGGACAGCUGACAGUCCAGGAAGGACAGGGGACAGUCCAGGAAGGACAGCUGACAGUCCAGGAAGGACAGGGAGAAGUUCAGGAAGGACAGGGAGCAGUCCAGGAAGGACAGGGAGCAGUCCAGGUCAGCGGCCAGUGUGGGCAGGGGCCCAGCAAGCACCACGGCAACCAGACAGCCGUGUGCUCACCCCAAGGUGCCUUUGCUGCUGGGACAUCUUGCAGGGGCAUGGGGGACACGACACGUCCUCCUCCUCAGGGGCUCUCAGUCUACAGGAAACCUCCUCCCUGGCGUGGGGGAUUGUGCCUCUAAGGGACACCCAACUUAGGAACCAGGAUGAGAAGUACCGAGGCCAAAUGGGGCUCCAUGAGAAACGGACAUGACUCUCCAGAUGUGGGGAACAGACACCUUCCACUGAGCACAGAUCCUGCCUUCUGCCCGUCCCCCCCCCAUGCCCUGACUGAGGAGAGAUUAACUGGUCCAUGCAAGCCUCCCUCCCUCUGCACAGGAGGACUCUCAGGCCUCAUGGCCUGACUGAUGUAGGGCUGAAAACACUGGCCGUCUCCCCUUACCUUCCUCGAGUUGGGACCUGCUUGAGCCCUUAGCGACGGAGCCAUUUUGUGUCCACUCCCCCUUACAGUCACGGGUAAAAUGAAGUUCAAGUUGUCGGGCCUGCCUGCCCAGUGCCGCGCCUCAUAGUCACGGUUUCCUUACUCACCUGGAGUUACCGUGGCAUCCCAAGAGUCCGGCUGCGGCCCCACUCGGGAGCAAUCAGACUGAAGGUCAGUUAGAAGCCCUUUGUUUGGCUCGUGAAAAGGACGCACAGCUGCCCUCCCCCGGCUCCUGCACUAGGUUGCCUGGGGGUCCCCGGCUGUGGCUUCUCCUGUGAAAUCCUGCCACAGGCCAGGGCCGCAGGGCGGAGCCCCGGAUCUCGGUCAGCCUUGGCCUGUGCGUUCAGUAAACCAGCGUCUGAGACGGGUGUCGAGUGGUUUGUGGCCUACUCUUGGGCUAUCCAGUCACCGGGCCUGCGAGUCUCCCUCUCCCCUCUCUACCUGGUUCCCUCGGAGGACCCGGGCGGGAGGACAGACAACGCCGAGUCAGCAAGGCCUGGGCAGCCGCUCUCCAACCCUGCACGUGGCCACACACGGCACAGAGGUUCUCAACCAGGGCUAAACUCGUAAGAAAUUAGCUUCCGGAUGAAGGGUCCAGCCGCCGUGGGGAGGGUUUGUCUGAUCUCAGCCGCGCACUCUGGGACAGAAGGGGCCAUGGUUAUCCAAAAGAGUGAGAUCAUCGAAAUGGCGACACCCAUGGUAUUUGCAGGUAUCACUGCACCCCAGGCCUGCCUUCCACAGGUAGUCAGGCGCGUGUCCGGUCCCCCCAGUUUUUCCCUGGCUUAAUGCCAUCUUCCUGCAUUCCUAAUGGGGUUCCGGGACUGGGAGACCCAUAAGAGACUCCACCACGGGCUAGCACCAUACGGUAAGAGUCAAAGAAUUCCUCGAGUAACUUAAGGAGCCAGACUCCGUGGUGCGUUUUUGGGGUUGACACAUCAUUUUGCAUGAUGUGUUUACUGCUUUCUAGUGAAGAUUUAAGAGUGGUGGAGGCCAUCUGCCUCCACCACAAGGCAGCUACCAACAGGAACUGACACUGUCAACGGCUAGACCCGGGGAAACAUUUUUAGUAGCCAGAGGCUGAGUUUUGGGGUAGCACAGACCAGCUACACAGGCCCCAAGGACUGACCAGACAAGCUGCUACAAGUGGCCAGCCCAGCGCAAGACUGACCAGCCCCCGUGGGCAGGCGGCUGGACUCUGGCCCUGCUAAGCCUGGGAGUCUCUCUAUCUGCCCCGCUUUUCUCUAAGGUAAAGUUCUCUUUACAUCCUCAAGACUCCUGUGUCCACAGGCAUUGCCUGCUUUUGUCUCGGCUGCCUCCCUGCGAACCCCCAGGCCCCGCUCUCAGUCUGUUGCUGUGGAGAGACACUGCGAGCAGAGCAACUCUAACAGAAGGCACCCAAUCAGGCCUUGAUGCAGCUCCAGAUGUCAUUGUCAGCACAGCAGGAGGCGUGACAGCGAGCAGCCCAACGGUGAAGCAGUAGAGAAGACACUGGGCUCAGCAAACCUCAGAACCCUCUUCCAGUGACACACCUCCCCCAACAAGGCCACGCCUCCUAAGCCUUCUAAUUCUUUCAAAUAGUGCCACUCUGAUGACACUAUUUAAAAAGCAUUUAAAAACAUGAGCCUGUGAGGGCCUUUCUCACACACACACACAGGCGGCUGCUCUCUCUCUCACACACACACACAGGUGGUCGCUUUCCUACACACCACACACACACACACACACACACACACACACAGGCGGCCACACUCUCUCUCUCUCUCUCACACACACACACACAGGCUUUCAUUCUUGCUCUGCAAUCACACAGAUAGGGGAAGGAGAGGAAAUUCUGCCACCAACCCCUUCCAAAAUUCUCUCAGCUAUUGUCUUCCGUGUUCUAUGUUGUCUGGAUUACUGUAGUAAAUAAAAUAAUCAAGUUAAAA